GACGGAGGGGGCUAGCGUUGUUCGGAAUUACUGGGCGUAAAGAGCGCGUAGGCGGAUUAGUAAGUUGGGAGUGAAAGCCCGGGGCUUAACCUCGGAACUGAUUUCAAAACUGCUAGUCUUGAGUGAAGUAGGGGAUGAUGGAAUUCCUAGUGUAGAGGUGAAAUUCUUAGAUAUUAGGAGGAACACCGGUGGCGAAGGCGGUCAUCUGGACUUCAACUGACGCUGAGGAGCGAAAGCGUGGGGAGCAAACAGG
rnacentral:rRNA from 1 species